rnacentral:lncRNA from 10 species
GCGGGUGCAGAGGCCAGGAUGUGUGCUUCUGGGAAACUGGCAGGAACAGAACUCUACGGGCCUGCAGCAGCAUCUAUGGGUUGCCAGUUACUCCCAGAGUCCCAGAGGGCAUGUGUUACAGUGCACUCUUUUAGCUUCGCCAUCCGUGGAUGGCUUAAGUAUUAAACAGCUCAGCAGAGGCUCAGUGUGACAGUCUUUUGCACCUGAAACUGGGUCCUUGUCGGCACCCAGGAGGAGUGAGGAUGCAUGGACAAAUAGGAGGGUGGUGAAUGCAGAAGAUUUUAUUGCCUAUAGAAGUUGUUUCCAGCAGGAAGGAGGCACUGGGAAGGGGAUGGAGCGGGAAGGUAAUCUUCGCCUGAGUUUCGACCAUCCCCAACCGAACUCCUCUCCGAUCAUUGUCUCCGAUGUCCAGCUGCUGCUUUUCUGGACUUUCAGACUUCACCAUCAAUUCAUACAGCAGAUAUCAUCAUACACAGUCCAGGUAUGAAGAUCUGGGCUCAGAGAGACUAAGUAAGUGAAUUGCCUGAAGACACAUUGUUGUGUACAUGCUUUCUCUGUGGAAGCUGUGGCAAAUUUCCAGACUUGGCAUCAGGUGGCUUUUGAUGAUUCUCAAAGAUAAUAUUCAUCUAACAUGAAUACAUUUUACUGCUCCUGGGGACACCUAUAAGAAUGCCCCACUGUGGCCGGGCACAGUGUCACGCCUAUAAUUCCAGCACUUUGAGAGGCCAAGGGGGGCAGAUCACCUGAAGUCGGAAGUGUGAGACCAGCCUGACCAGCGUGGAGAAACCCCAUCUCUACUAAAAAUACAAAAUCAGCCGGGCAUGGUGGCGCAUGCCUGUAAUCACAGCUACUCAGGAGGCUGAGGCAGGAGAAUUGCUUGAACCCGGGAGGCGGAGGUUGUGGUAAGCUGAGAUUGCAACAUUGCACUUCAGCCUGGACAACAAGAGCAAAACUCCGUCUCGAAACAACAACAACAACAACAGCAACAACAACAAAAUGCCCCACUGCCUAAAAAUAUAUCCUAAACACGAAGUUCAAAAAUGUUUUAAUCAAUGAAAGCAAAAAUAAAAUGUGUGUGGAGCUUCCCAAAGGUAAAAGAUUGCUUAGCAAGUAUUAAUUUUCUCAUUAAGACAAAUUUUAAGUGAUUGCUAUUUAUUUUCUUUGUUAUAUACUGUUUCGUAAAAGUAUCUUUUUGUAAUUUUUUAAAAAAGUAUGCAAAUCCCCCCCACACAUAUAAAGCUCAAUAUAUUUUCACAAAGUUAUAUAUAUAUUCAGAAACUGGGGCAGGGUAAUAAAUAUACUGCUCACAUUUGACAUCUAUCACUUCAGUUCACUUACCAAAAAACUACACAAAAGCAUUUUGUGUCUCCUUUUACACUUUGCCCACUGAAUUUACAGUCCUGUCCAUGUUUUGGUAAAUGGAGCCAGACUGUCUCAGCUUUAUUCCCAAUUCAUGUUCACUGAACUACAGCAAAGCUCUACAUCAAAAUAGACCAUAAACAUGUUUCUUCAAAUGUAAAACAGAAGUAAUUAUAUUCUGUACAGUAAGAAAAGAUUAAUGAGAUAGUGCCCAUAAAGUAUUCAUUUAAAAAGCUCUAGAAAAAAAAUAAAUUCAAAAAUACAUUUUCCUGACCCCUUAAAAAUAAAAUUAGGGAGCUCUCCAAUGAAGUUGAAUUUUGUAUUUGUUUGUUCUUAACUAUAUAUUUGCUGAAUGAAAUUUCUUUUUCUUUUUUUUUUUUUUCUUUUGAGACAAAGUCUCACUUUGUUACCCAGGCUGGAGUAAGUGGAGUAAGUGGCGUGAUCUUGGCUCCUUUGCAGCCUCAACCUCCCAGGUUCAAACCAUCCUCCUGCCUCAGCCCCUCAUUAGCUGGAACUACAGGAGUGUACCACCACACCCAGCUAAUUUUUGUAUUUUUUUGUACAGACUGGGUUUCACCAUGUUGCCCAGGCAGGCCUCGAACUCCUAAGCCCAAGCCAACCACGGGCCUUGGCCUCCCGAAGUGCUGGGAUUACAGGCAUGAGCCACUGCACCCAGCUGUGAAUGGUAUCUUACUAUUAUCUUUCUUUCACAUUUAGUGUCUUAUUUUCAUUACCUCCCUAGGGUUUUUUUUUUUUCCAUAUCUUUUCUACUAAAUUUUCUGUUCAGUGCCUUUCCUCAAACUUUCUUGUCUUUGUCUUGUUUUAUUUCUCAUGACCUCUCUCUGCUCCAACAAGCAAGACAAAACAUUUCCCGAUUCCCAUUAGUGAGCAAUUUAUUUAUGUUUAAUUUGAAUUUGAUAUUUUAUGGAGCAAAGGACCUUGCUUUGUAUUUCAUGCUUUUAAAUAUUCUAUCUCUGAUUGUAAUGUAUAACAAUAAGUAAGAAUUUUUGAGGUACAUGAAUGUUCAGUAUUCAUUUAUUUUAAAUUAUCUAACCAAAUAACAGCACUAAAAACCUGCAUAUUUUUAUAACUAUUUACUAUCAGAUGCAUGUAAUCUACUUAUUAUUGUGAAAAAACAUCUUUGGUCAUUGUCAGAAGGACAGCAUUUUUGAUAUGAUAAUCAAAGAGCACUCGCUUGCAUAAAAUUAUGUCACAAAUCACAUUAUUUUAUUCUGGAAACAUCUAUAUUCUGCUGAUGAUUCACCAGAAAAUCUUAAAACACAUUCAAAAAUGCUAUUUUAGGUGUUUUAUAAACAGAAGUUGUGUGUGUGUGUGUAUCAAUUAAAAUGCUGCAAAAUGACAGUUUGUAUAGUACUUUCAAGAUCUUUCUUCCCCAAGGGUUAAUCAGUUCUAAGAAACUGAAUCCUAUUUUUGUUUCCA